GAUGAACGCUAGCUACAGGCUUAACACAUGCAAGUCGAGGGGCAGCAUGAACUUAGCUUGCUAAGUUUGAUGGCGACCGGCGCACGGGUGAGUAACACGUAUCCAACCUGCCGAUGACUCGGGGAUAGCCUUUCGAAAGAAAGAUUAAUACCCGAUGGCAUAGUUCUUCCGCAUGGUAGAACUAUUAAAGAAUUUCGGUCAUCGAUGGGGAUGCGUUCCAUUAGCUUGUUGGCGGGGUAACGGCCCACCAAGGCAUCGAUGGAUAGGGGGACUGAGAGGUUAACCCCCCACAUUGGUACUGAGACACGGACCAA
rnacentral:rRNA from 1 species